ACUGGUUUUCAACUCCAAAAAUAGACUCUGCUACUGAGAGUAUGAGAUUUUCCAUACAUAGACAACGAUACGGUCAGUUUACAAUGAACCUGCAGACUUUUCACAGUUUUUACCAGCAGCUCAUGAUCUAGUUUGGGAUUCUUAAAAGAAAAGAAAAUUGGUAAUCAUCACAGGAAUGAAUAUACUGGAACAGAGUUGCAUUGGAUACAGUAGUUGCAAAGAAGAUAAAGGGAUCAACUUUACACAAGAGAAAUAGAAAAUAACAAAUAAAGGAAGUUCCUGAAAAACAAAAUUUGAAACACUUAAGAAAAGGUCAUACGGAGAUUUCAAGAGUAGUAAUUUCGGGAAAGGUGAGAGAAAGCAGCCAUCUGAAAGCCAAGAAGAGAGCCCGCACCAGAAGUCAAACACACUGGCACCUUGAUUUCAGAAUUUCAGCCUCCUGAACUGUGAGAAAAUGAAAACAACUGGAUCAAUGUAUACCUUCAAAUGACAUUAACACCUCUUUCUAUGGUUUAAAUUGUAUUACCUCCCAAAAAGAUAUGCUGAAGUCCUAACCCUUAGUAUCUCAAAAUAUAAUCUUACUUGAAAAUGUAGUCUUUACAGAACUAAUGAAGUUAAAAUAACAUCAUUAGGGUAGGCCCUAAUUAAAUGUAACUGUUGUCCUUAUAAAAAAGGGAAAUUUGGACGCAGAGACAGAUAUACACAGACUGAAGACAAUGUAAAGAUACACAGGGAGACGCCAUCUGAAGAUGGAGAGGAACAUAUUGGACUGAUGUAGCUAUAAGCCAAGGAAUGCUAAGAAUUGUCUGCUACCACCAGAAGCUAGGAAAAGGCAAGAACGAUCCUACCCAGACUCUCAGAGGGAGCGUGGUCCUGCCCUGCAGAUUCUGAACUUCUAGUCUCUGGAGCUGUGAGACAACAAAUUUUUAUUGCUUUAAGCCACUCAGUUUGUGAUACUUUGUUAUGUCAGCCCUAGGAAACUAAUAUACCUAUAUCAUAAAAUUACAUUCAGCAAUGUAUAAAGUUAUAGCAUUCUUUCCAGCUGUCAAAUUAAAUCAAAUUCUAUCAACAAUAAAAAUAUAAAUUAGCCACUGAAAAUAAUGCAUUGAUAAUUGACAGAAGUGUGUGGCAUAAAAUAGAUUGCCUAAAAAAUAAUUUUUUGUAUUAGGAGAGUACAGGUCAU